rnacentral:rRNA from 1 species
GACGAACGCUAGCGGCGUGCUUAACACAUGCAAGUCGAACGGAAAGGCCCUGCUUUUGUGGGGUGCUCGAGUGGCGAACGGGUAAGUAACACGUGAGUAACCUGCCCUUGACUUUGGGAUAACUUCAGGAAACUGGGGCUAAUACCGGAUAGGAGCUCCUGCUGCAUGGUGGGGGUUGGAAAGUUUCGGCGGUUGGGGAUGGACUCGCGGCUUAUCAGCUUGUUGGUGGGGUAGUGGCUUACCAAGGCUUUGACGGGUAGCCGGCCUGAGAGGGUGACCGGCCACAUUGGGACUGAGAUACGGCCCAGACUCCUACGGGAGGCAGCAGUGGGGAAUAUUGCACAAUGGGCGGAAGCCUGAUGCAGCAACGCCGCGUGCGGGAUGACGGCCUUCGGGUUGUAAACCGCUUUCGCCUGUGACGAAGCGUGAGUGACGGUAAUGGGUAAAGAAGCACCGGCUAACUACGUG